UUUUUUUUUUUUGGUUUUAACUCGCAGGAUGAACGGCUGGCGGCGUGCCUAAUACAUGCAAGUCGAACGCACAGCGAAAGGUGCUUGCACCUUUUCAAGUGAGUGGCGAACGGGUGAGUAACACGUGGACAACCUGCCUCAAGGCUGGGGAUAACAUUUGGAAACAGAUGCUAAUACCGAAUAAAACUUAGUGUCGCAUGACACAAAGUUAAAAGGCGCUUCGGCGUCACCUAGAGAUGGAUCCGCGGUGCAUUAGUUAGUUGGUGGGGUAAAGGCCUACCAAGACAAUGAUGCAUAGCCGAGUUGAGAGACUGAUCGGCCACAUUGGGACUGAGACACGGCCCAAACUCCUACGGGAGGCUGCAGUAGGGAAUCUUCCACAAUGGGCGAAAGCCUGAUGGAGCAACGCCGCGUGUGUGAUGAAGGCUUUCGGGUCGUAAAGCACUGUUGUAUGGGAAGAACAGCUAGAAUAGGAAAUGAUUUUAGUUUGACGGUACCAUACCAGAAAGGGACGGCUAAAUACGUGCCAGCAGCCGCGGUAAUACGUAUGUCCCGAGCGUUAUCCGGAUUUAUUGGGCGUAAAGCGAGCGCAGACGGUUUAUUAAGUCUGAUGUGAAAGCCCGGAGCUCAACUCCGGAAUGGCAUUGGAAACUGGUUAACUUGAGUGCAGUAGAGGUAAGUGGAACUCCAUGUGUAGCGGUGGAAUGCGUAGAUAUAUGGAAGAACACCAGUGGCGAAGGCGGCUUACUGGACUGCAACUGACGUUGAGGCUCGAAAGUGUGGGUAGCAAACAGGAUUAGAUACCCUGGUAGUCCACACCGUAAACGAUGAACACUAGGUGUUAGGAGGUUUCCGCCUUCUUAGUGCCGAAGCUAACGCAUUAAGUGUUCCGCCUGAAGAGC
rnacentral:rRNA from 1 species